rnacentral:lncRNA from 1 species
CGAUCUGCUAAAAAGUCAAACGACAUAAAUCCCCUUCGUCCCAACUCCUCUAUGCUUCACUUGGACUACGCGGCGAAUACACCCACCCCACGUCUGCAAUAGCUCGAUCGUCGCCAUUUCACGCGUCAUCACUCGCCGGUCCGUCUGUAUGCAGCAAGCCGUUGCAGCAAAAAAAAUCCCGUGGACACGGGAAGAGCAGCUUGUGCCAUUGGUUGGUUGCAAACCACUGCAGCACCCAUCUUCGUUUGUCACAUGAGCUUCGUCGGCUCACCGCUCCCGACCAUUGCCGCACAUUUUAAGUUUUUUUUUGAUGGUUACCGUAGCAACACAGCUAAAGCUUUAGUAGCUAUGGUUGAAGCUUUUUCUUUCAAUGGUUACAACACUUUUUCGUUUGUUCAAUGGCCGGUGGAAGCUUUCUCGAUCUUCGAUUGACGUCUAUUUCUUCUAGGGUUGUAAUUAUUUUGUCAAAUUAUUGCAACUUAUUUUGUUGCGCAAUGUUUGAUUGUAUCUUUUUCAUCAACCGUUGAAGCUUUUUAAUGCAAUUAAGCUUUUAUAGUCAACGAUUGCAUCCCUAUGCCCCGGUUCCAGCACACGGCUGUCCUGGUUUGCUGCAUCAUCAUGGUUGUUUCCGUGCAUCCCGAAAAUCACAGCGCCAUCCACAACUUCGUCCCCCGCCCCUGGUUUGAAGCAAAACAGAAGAAGAGGAAAAGGGGGAGGAAAAAGGGAGGUGGCGGCAGCACACGGCGAAGCCCAACCUGUUGUGAUGGUCGAGGAUUCGAUAAGGGAGAUGGAUUGGGCGAAGGGGGUGCGACAAAGAUGAAGUGGUCGAGAGGGAAGGGAUAAGAUGGGGGAACACGAUGCUAGCCGCAGGAUCUCGCCCGAUCGAACGCGGCAUGCGCGACCGGCAUAAGACUGGCCCGACGAGCCAGAUGCAAUGAAUUAGUGUAAUGUGCGGUAGGUUGUCCUAGGGAUGACUGUGGUUUACCAUUUCCAAAAUAUAAAACGUAAAAUGGAAGUUACAAGUCACGCGCGGUAGGUUGUCCUCCGGAAGAUGAGAUCUAGAAUGUCAAAAAAAUAAAUAGAGGACGAAAUCUAGGGGAAGAGAUCGCGUGUUCCAUUCUGGUUGUGCACACAUUUGUUUUGCAGUUAAAAGAAGAAAGAAGAAAAAGGCAAAUGUGUCGACCUGGGGGAGGGGGGUGCACCCAUUUGCAAAUUGUAUAGUAGCAGGCCCUAUCUUUUGGUCAUGCUGUUAUCGGAGGUAUGUUUCCUAUUUAGUGUUUCAGGCCAUUUGACAAACCGGAGCGCACCCAUCCGUGCGUUCGGCCGGCCCAUUCCAUUUUUUUUCUGAUUUUAAUAUGUAAAAAGAAGUGCGCGGCUAAGAAUCAAACACGCGAGCUCCACCUUAAGUUUAACUCACACUAAAUAACUAGACCAACAACACAUUGUGAUAAUAUGUUUUCUUUUAUUCUUUUAUACUUUCUCCAGCGUUUUUUUCUUCUAUUUUCAGUUUUUGUUUUUUCCUGAUUGGUUUUCUUUUUUGUUUUCCUUUUUCUGUUCAUUUUCUUUCAAAAUGCACUUUUGUUUCCAACUCGAUUGACUUUAUCUGAAAUCAAUUGUUUUUGCAAUCUAUAAAAAAUCAAUUAUUUUACAAUUGAUGAAUUAUUUUUGGAAAUCCAACAACCUUUUUCCAAAUCAACGAAGUUUGUAAAUAAUUGAUGAACUUUUUCAAAUUUGACGAACUUUUUUUCAAUCAAUGAGAUUUUUUUCCAAAUUCAUGAUUUUGUUUUUGCAAAAUCCAUGAUUUAUUUUUCGAAUUCACAAUUUUAGUCUGUUUUUUUGUUCUUUUUCAGAUGCAAUCAAGCGAACCAUGGGGAAAUAAAAUGCAAAAUCUAUAUGGGCCAGAGAGCUCUCCACGCGCCCCAUAGCGCUGGAUAGGAGCUCCUUGUGGGAGGUGGCACUUUGAUGGACAAGCCUCAAAAUCUGGUGGGCUGGCCUUGUUUAUUCAUGGGCCGCUCAGUGGGCCCAUUGACCCAUCUUAUGUGCCAGGCCACAAAUCAUUCGUCUCUCGCCCAGCAGCAGGAGCCUAGCCCGCCAUUCACUUGGCUCCUUCGUUUGGCUGAAAAAAUGAACUUGCCUCCUUCGUGAAUGAAAUGGGCAUCUCUUCUCCAGCACUGCUUCAUCUUGAUCUGCAACCGUCGACGAUCCCAAGUUUGAUCAGUUGUUGGAUCCGUCACUGUUCUUCCAACGGUAGAGUGUAUUUCUAGGGCAGACAGAUCAUGUCCAAUGGAGAAACCCUCCGACGAAGCAAGCAAUGGUGCUUUCUUCUCGUUUGAGACACGUGAGGUAGCAAUUCGAGAAAAGAUGUUAGUAUCCACUACACAGGAUGUGCUUCUUGAUGCCUCCCAAUCCCCAUGUGUUGCACACGAACUACUUCCAGGUAGCUGGCCUUGGUCUAGUCCUUCGCCAUAUCUUGGUAAGAACAACAAAUAUAAGUGUGAAGUCUAAG